GGGUCUACCCAUUGGUCAGGCUUAAUUGUCUGCACUGGUGAGAUGGAUCUCUACCUUCUGAGGAACUUUCAUGCCAUUUAUUUGGUGUGAUGGGAAAUCAGGACUGUUACUUUGAAAAAAUUAGAGUGUUUAAAGCAGACUAUCGUCUGAAUACAUUAGCAUGGAAUAAUGAAAUAGGACGGACUGAUUCUAUUUCGUUGGUUUCUAGGAUCACCGUAAUGAUUAAUAGGGAUAGUUG
rnacentral:rRNA from 1 species